rnacentral:snRNA from 1 species
AUACUUACCUGGCAGGGGAUAUACCAUGAUCAGGAAGGUGGUUUUCCCAGGGCGAGGCUUAUCCAUUGCACUCGGGAUGUGCUGACUCCUGCGAUUUUCCCAAAUGUGGGGAACUCGACUGCAUAAUUUGUGGUAGUGGGGGACUGCGUUCGCGCUUUCCCCCU